UACGGAAGGGGCAAGCGUUGUUCGGAAUCAUUGGGCGUAAAGGGCGCGCAGGUGGCUCUGUAUGUCUGCCGUGAAAGCAUACAGCUCAACUGUAUUGUGUCGGUAGAAACUGCAGGACUUGAGGCCGGGAGGGGCUGGUGGAAUUCCCUGUGUAGCGGUGAAAUGCGUAGAGAUGGGGGAGAACACUCGUGGCGAAGGCGGCCAGCUAGACCAGUUCUGACACUGAGGCGCGACAGCGUGGGGAGCAAACAGG
rnacentral:rRNA from 1 species